AUGGCGUACUUCAACGAUAGUAGUAAAGUGUUGAUGUGCCCGGGUCACACCGACAUCGCACCCUACGUCGCCAACCUGACCUCCUCCUACUCCGACAAGAGCAACGAGUCCUCCGUGGUGGCCACCUCCGUCUUCAUGCUCGUCCUCGCCGCCGUCUUCUUCAACCUCAACCUCUUCAGCCGCAUCUCCAACACCAGCGCCGUCCUCAACCCCACCGCCCGCCUCAUCCUCACCUCCGCGGUCUCGCUCUUCCUCCCCGUCAUGUCCUACCUCUUUUCCGAGGCCAAAAACACCCCCGAUGCCGCCGGCGCCAGCAAGGUCGAAGAGGACCUCCCGGUGCGGGCUCGGCUCAUCCUCACGUGGAUGCUUCUCGCGGAGCUCCUCCGCAAGAACGUGGAGGCCAUCCCGACCACCGCGGCGAUGCAGAAGGGCUACUCUAUCAUCAUCGCCAACGCCAACGCCGUCGCUUGGCUUGGAUACCUCGUCUUCUUCAACCUCAAGGGAGCCGGCCGGGUGGCGGUGUUCGGCAUCCUCUGGCUGCUCUGCGCCGCCAAGUUCGUGCAGAGGGUCGCCUUCACCGAGAUAGGGAAGCGUUCUUUCGCCUAUGGCAAGAAUGCUCGCCUCCUCUCCUCCUACAUGGCUGAAAUGGUAAAACGCCCGCCACAUGUCCAGACGCCCACUCCGUCGCAGAGGUUGGAGAUGUGCAACUACGUGGUCAUGGGAGAAGAAAAUCUUAUGCUGAAACCCGGCUCGCAUGGCUACGAGCUCGACCUCGACCGGCUCACCGCCACCUACGGCGACCACAUCGGUGACCACAUCGUCACCGUGGGGAAAAUAUGGGCACUCCCGCAGCAAGAGAAGAAACCGAGGCUCAAGAGGCUCAAAAGGCUGUGCCUCUCCUUUGCGCUCUUCAAGCAACUCCGGCCUAGGUUCGAGCUCCUGCGGGCCGCCACUAAGGAAGAAACCGACCACUGCCGGGACCUCAUCUUCCAAGGCCUGUGCAGCCACGAUCAGACUGACCUCGAAGUCGAACCUGGGGUGGCACUGUUCCAGGUGCUCAAGGACGAGAUCAGCUUCCUGAGCGAGUACUACCACUCCGUCCACCCGGUGGUGCUCGCCAGCCCCUACUUCUUCGUCAUCAACUACAUCACCUUCCCCGUCGUGGUCUUCGGCCUCUGCGUCAUGACCGUCGCCCUUGCCGGCGACGGCGACAUGCCCGAGGCCAUCGCCAGCAUCGGGCGGGACAACUACGCCAUAUCCUCCGGCAUAUUCACGCUCACCAAGUGCCUCUGGAGGAACUUCUUCCACACACCGGCGGCCUUCUUCGUCAUCGUCGACAUCUCCAUCACCUACCUCCUCUUCAUCGCCUUCGUCUACGAGCAAGUGUCCGAGUACAUGGUAUUCGUCUUCUCUAACUGGUUCAUGGUGUCGCUGCUGUGCAACUACGCCGCACGGCCACGCUGGCGCGACAGCACGACCUACCGUGGUAUUCUCCGCCGCAUGUCCUGGAUCAGUAGCAAGCUGAGCCACCCCAGCCGUAUCACCUUGAAGCAGUUCUCCGUGCUCAGGGUUAGCUGGCUCUCCAUGACGCUGCCCACCACCUUCCUGCCAAGACAAGCAAAGAGCUCCAUAAUGGAACGCUUUCGCUUGGCGGCGUACGGCCAUGACGGUAGCCCCGCCCCUCCUAGCAACGGCCAGUACGUGAUAGACCAUUGGCGGCGGCAUACAGACUUGUCAUGCUUCUGCGAGAGUAAGAGCGUGGUCGAGGUCAUCCUCAUCUGGCACAUUGCUACCACCAUCUUGGAGAUAGAGUAUCCAGGACGGCACAAAGCAGAGACCUCUUCGAGGCUGGUGGCCACGAGGCUGUCCAAGUACUGUGCUUACCUCGUGGUCAUCCACCCAGAGCUGCUACCGGAUGACCGUGAAGGCACGGAGCGCGUGUUGGAGGACAUGAAGAGGGAUCUCAAGGUGGCCGUCGGGGGUUGGUGGGCUUACUACACCGCGCCCGAGAGGGAACGGUACAACAAGAUGAUGGGGGCGCCCUUGCCGGACUGCCCGGCCGACAACAUCCAUAAUGUGGUUCACAAGGGAACAAAGCUGGGGAGGAAACUAAUGGAAGAUUGCCGGAGAGAUGAACGGCCCGUUUGGGAACUACUGGCCGACCUUUGGGUGGAGCUCCUUGUGUACAUCGCGCCAUCCGGUCGUGAUGAGCACGUGAAGGGGCAGGAGGAGGCACUGGUGCUAGGCGGCGAGCUGGUCACCCUCGUCUGGGCGUUGGCCACGCACACCGGCGUAACCCGGCCACCGCCGACGUCGGUGGUAGUAGAGGAUGUCGAAGGGGCGUCACGUCCUUCUAUAUUGGCCUAG
rnacentral:rRNA from 1 species